GGGCCUAUAGCUCAGUUGGUCAGAGCCGCCGGCUCAUAACCGGUUUGUCCCAGGUUCGAGUCCUGGUGGGCCCACCA
rnacentral:tRNA from 1 species